AUUGAACGCUGGCGGCAGGCCUAACACAUGCAAGUCGAGCGGAUGAAGGGAGCUUGCUCCUGGAUUCCGCGGCGGACGGGUGAGUAAUGCCUAUGAAUCUGCCUGGUAGUGGGUUAUAACGUCCGGAAACGGGCGCUAAUACCGCAUACGUCCUGAGGGAGAAAGUGGGGGAUCUUCGGACCUCACGCUAUCAGAUGAGCCUAGGUGGGAUUAGCUAGUUGGUGGGGUAAAGGCCUACCAAGGCGACGAUCCGUAACUGGUCUGAGAGGAUGAUCAGUCACACUGGAACUGAGACACGGUCCAGACUCCUACGGGAGGCAGCAGUGGGGAAUAUUGGACAAUGGGCGAAAGCAUGAUACAGCCAGGCCGCGUGUGUGAAGAAGGUCUUCGGAUUGUAAAGCACUUUAAGUUGGGAGGAAGGGCAGUAAGUUAAUACCUUGCUGUUUUGACGGUACCAACAGAAUAAGCACCGGCUAACUUCGUG
rnacentral:rRNA from 1 species